AACUGAUACUACCUGCGGGAACCUGCGGAAGGAUCAUUACCGAGUUUACAACUCCCAAACCCAAUGUGAACGUUACCAAACUGUUGCCUCGGCGGGAUCUCUGCCCCGGGUGCGUCGCAGCCCCGGACCAAGGCGCCCGCCGGAGGACCAACCAAAACUCUUUUGUAUACCCCCUCGCGGGUUUUUUUAUAUCUGAGCCAUCUCGGCGCCUCUCGUAGGCGUUUCGAAAAUGAAUCAAAA
rnacentral:misc_RNA from 1 species